rnacentral:rRNA from 2 species
GAUUGAGUGUUCCGGUGAAUUAUUCGGACCGUUCCGUGUCGCGUUUCGUGUCCGGAAUGGGAAGUUUUGUGAACCUUAACACUUAGAGGAAGGAGAAGUCGUAACAAGGUUUCCGUAGGUGAACCUGCGGAAGGAUC